GGUUAAGCGACUAAGCGUACACGGUGGAUGCCCUGGCAGUCAGAGGCGAUGAAGGGCGUGCUAAUCUGCGAUAAGCGCCGGUAAGGUGAUAUGAACCGUUAUAACCGGCGAUACCCGAAUGGGGAAACCCAGUGUGAUUCGUCACACUAUCAUUAACUGAAUCCAUAGGUUAAUGAGGCGAACCGGGGGAACUGAAACAUCUAAGUACCCCGAGGAAAAGAAAUCAACCGAGAUUCCCCCAGUAGCGGCGAGCGAACGGGGAGGAGCCCAGAGCCUGAAUCAGCAUGUGUGUUAGUGGAAGCGUCUGGAAAGGC
rnacentral:rRNA from 1 species